rnacentral:rRNA from 1 species
UAAGACAGAGGGUGCAAACGUUGUUCGGAAUUACUGGGCGUAAAGCGCGUGUAGGCUGCUCGGAAAGUCGGGUGUGAAAGCCCUGGGCUCAACCCAGGAAGUGCACUCGAAACUCCCGAGCUGGAGUCCUGGAGAGGAAGGCGGAAUUCUCGGUGUAGAGGUGAAAUUCGUAGAUAUCGAGAGGAACAUCGGUGGCGAAGGCGGCCUUCUGGACAGUGACUGACGCUGAGACGCGAAAGCGUGGGGAGCAAACAGGAUUAGAUACCCUGGUAGUCCACGCCGUAAACGAUGGGUGCUAGGUGUCGCGGGCUUUGACCCCUGCGGUGCCGCAGCUAACGCAUUAAGCACCCCGCCUGGGGAGUACGGCCGCAAGGCUA